CAGCUUCUACCUUACAUAUUUUAAUUAUUUUUUAAAGUAAUUAUUUUAAUUGAAAUUUUAAUUUUAAAAUUUUUAUGGAAAUUUAAGAAAAAAAUCAUUUUGUAAUAAAAGGAUUUUUUCUGAAAUUUUUGUAUUCUAAAGAUUUUGCAUAAUUUUUUUUUUGUUACUUUAUCAUUCGCUAUACAUUGUAGUGAAUUGAAUAUUCAAUUUUACUUAAUGGUUUUUUUUUAAAUGAGGUAUAUUAAAGUAUUUAACUUCUUACUAUUUUUGAAAUACAUUUAAUUUUAUUUCUUAAAUUUUCAUUUUUAUUUAUUAAUCAUUAUAUUUAUUUUUUUUAUAUUUUUUUUUAUUUUACUGUUUCUGUUUUCUUUUUUUUUAUUUUAAUUUCUUAGAUUCCACAGUUACUACAUUGAAUGCAGUGAAAAUAAAUUCAUGUGAAAUUUUUAAUAACGGACACAAAUUUUUACAUCUAAAAUAUUGCAAACAUAUGCAAAUAUCGCAUCUGAUGACACUCCCAACUUGGUUGCAUCAGAUUCUAGUUUACCUUAACUGCAAGUUAUUUCUUGAUGUAUAAAUUAUCUUUUAACAUCGAAAAAAUAUUGUUUAAUAUCCUUUGUAAACAAACAAAUGCAAUUUUGCAAACAGGAAACUAAUUUCAAGUUCAGUAACUUCAGUUUUUGAAUUUUCAAAAUCUUUUUUGGAAAUUCGUCAAAUUAAUAAUGGAAAAAGACUGAUAAUUUUUCUUAUAAAAAUAAAAAAUAAUUUUCAGUUUUAAAUUAUGGGAAAAAUAAGAGUAAAAGAUUUUAUUUAAUAUUAUCAAGAGGAUUUCUACGUUUGGGAAGGAAGAAAUUUUCCAAAAUGCAAAAUGACAAUGUGUUUUUUCUUUUUAAAAAUUUCUAAAGAUAAUAGAAGAUUUGAUAAAAUAAAAAAAAUAUAUAUAGAAAGCAUAAAAUCCCCACUUUUAUUCUAAUAAUGAAGAGAAUAUGGGAGGGAUUGCAGGUGAAGGGAGCUUUGUAAAAGCCACAGGAAUCACCGGAAGAUUCGUAGUCCUCUACCUGAGGUUGACAGUGUGAGUUCAUUUCAAAAUUGCAUUAAACAAUUGGAUGAGGGAAGUUUAAAUUACAAUUCAAUUGGAAAUUUAUCAGUGACACUUUAACACAAAACGUGAUUGAUUAAUUAAUGAUUUUUAUUUUUUAUCGACACUAAGAAUUUCGUAUACUUAUGUGUC